rnacentral:rRNA from 1 species
UACAGAGGGUGCAAGCGUUGUUCGGAAUUACUGGGCGUAAAGCGCGUGUAGGUGGUGAUGUAAGUCGGAUGUGAAAUCCCUUGGCUUAACCAAGGAAGUGCACCCGAUACUGCGUCGCUUGAGUGUCGGAGGGGAUGGCGGAAUUCCCGGUGUAGAGGUGAAAUUCGUAGAUAUCGGGAGGAACACCUGUGGCGAAGGCGGCCAUCUGGACGAUUACUGACACUGAGACGCGAAAGCGUGGGUAGCAAACAGG